GACGAACGCUGGCGGCGUGCUUAACACAUGCAAGUCGAACGAUGAAGCUAGAGCUUGCUCUGGUGGAUUAGUGGCGAACGGGUGAGUAACACGUGAGUAACCUGCCCCGAACUCUGGGAUAACUGCUGGAAACGGUAGCUAAUACCGGAUAUGACCAAUGAAGGCAUCUUCUGUUGGUGGAAAGAAUUUCGGUUCGGGAUGGACUCGCGGCCUAUCAGCUUGUUGGUGAGGUAACGGCUCACCAAGGGGACGACGGGUAGCCGGCCUGAGAGGGUGUUCGGCCACACUGGGACUGAGACACGGCCCAGACUCCUACGGGAGGCAGCAGUGGGGAAUAUUGUACAAUGGGCGCAAGCCUGAUGCAGCAACGCCGCGUGAGGGAUGACGGCCUUCGGGUUGUAAACCUCUUUUAGUAGGGAAGAAGCGAAAGUGACGGUACCUGCAGAAAAAGCACCGGCUAACUACGUGCCAGCCGCCGCCGUAA
rnacentral:rRNA from 1 species